rnacentral:rRNA from 1 species
CAUGUCCUUUAGAUUUUAAUUUAAGGUCUAAUCUGCUCAAUGAUAGUUAAAUAGCCGCAGUAUUUUGACUGUGCGAAGGUAGCAUAAUAAUUAGUUUUUUUAUUGGAAGCUGGAAUGAAUGAUUGGACGAAGGAUUAACUGUCUCUUUAGAAUUUAUUUUGAAUUUAACUUUUAAGUGAAAAGGCUUAAAUUAUUUUCAAAGACGAGAAGACCCUAUAGAGUUUAACAUAUUUAUUUUAGAAAGUUCUUUGGAAUUGAUUUAUUUUUUAAUUGGUUUGUUUGGUUGGGGUGAUUAGAAGAUUUGAUUAACUCUUCUAUGUUUUUGUUACUUAUUAGUAAUUUUUUAUUCUAUAAUUUUUAAGUUUAAAUUAAAUUACCUUAGGGAUAACAGCGUUAUUUUCCUUUAGAGUUCUUAUUAAUAGGAAAGUUUGCGACCUCGAUGUUGGAUUAAAAUUUAAGCUGGGCGCAGUAGCUCAUGCUGCUAAGUCUGUUCGACUUUUAGAAUUUUACAUGAUCUGAGU